GCAGGGCUGGCCUGUCCCAUGUCGGGGCCUGGUGAAGCCCCUCUCCCACGAGGGGCUCUGGCUGGGGCCCACGGGGCCUUGUGGGGCACGGCAGGGAUCAGAGGGCAUCCCGGCAUCUGUGGAAGUUCAUGCAGCUUCCCCCUGGAUCUGACCACGGAUUUUAUGAUGGCACGGAGUCCAGAGAAUCCUUGGAAAUGGAUUGCUCGUCUUUAA
rnacentral:lncRNA from 1 species